rnacentral:lncRNA from 1 species
UCGAUUUCGUAAAAAGACGAUCGAUAACCUUCCGUUUUCUAUGUACCAUAAGUUGGAAAAGUUGCAAAAUUCCAUCUAAACAAACUGUAAAAAACGAAUCUUUACAAGAAAUCCAACUAAUUCAGCUCCGAAAAUAAAAGUCAAGAACCCUAAUUUGCCCCCUAAAUCAAACAGAGCACCAAAUAUCAUCCAAGUUUCAUGAUCUGUAUUACAAAAACAAUCAAUUAAUUUUUCUGUUUAAUAAAAGAACAAGCUUUUAAAUUUAACUAUAGCUUUAUAGUUGCAUUCAAACACACAUGAAUUGAUCAAUAGCAGCUAAAUAAACCUUAAACACAACUUUCUGACAGAGCCCACAAACAGUAAACUCAGUUUCACAGCAAACAACAAAAGAAAAACAUUAAAAAAAAUUACCUGAAAAUUAUGCUUCGUUUAUAAUGGGCAUUGCAACAUGAGAGAGAGAGAGAGAGAGAGAGAGAGAGAGAGAGAUUGGAGGCUACUGUUUGUGAGUGUGGGAAAACAAGGGUUU